rnacentral:rRNA from 1 species
UAACACGUGGAUAAUCUGCCCUGCACAGGGGGACAACAGCUAGAAAUGGCUGCUAGUACCGCAUAAGCCUACAGCCUCGCAUGAGGGAGUAGGAAAAGAAAUUCGGUGCAGGAUGAGUCCGCGUCUGAUUAGCUAGUUGGAGGGGUAAAAGCCCACCAAGGCAACGAUCAGUAGCCGGCCUGAGAGGGCGACCGGCCACAUUGGGACUGAGACACGGCCCAAACUCCUACGGGAGGCAGCAG